ACGGGAGGCAGCAGUGAGGAAUAUUGGUCAAUGGACGGAAGCCUGAACCAGCCAAGUCGCGUGAAGGAUGAAGGUAUUAUGUAUUGUAAACUUCUUUAGCCAGGGGGCAAUAAGGCGUACGCGUACGCCGAUGAGAGUACCUGGAGAAUAAGGAUCGGCUAACUCCGUGCCAGCAGCCGCGGUAAUACGGAGGAUCCGAGCGUUAUCCGGAUUUAUUGGGUUUAAAGGGUGCGCAGGCGGCUUUCUAAGUCAGUGGUUAAAUCGGGACGCUCAACGUCAUCACGCCAUUGAUACUGGAGAGCUUGAUUGCGGUCGAGGUUUGCGGAAUUCGUCGUGUAGCGGUGAAAUGCAUAGAUAUGACGAAGAACACCGAUUGCGUAGGCAGCAGACCAGGCCGUAAAUGACGCUCAUGCACGAAAGUGCGGGGAUCGAACAGGAUUAGAUACCCUGGUA
rnacentral:rRNA from 1 species